AGGGAUGUAGCUCAGUGGUAGAGCACUUGCCUAGCAUGCAUGAGGACUUAGAUUCAAUUCUA
rnacentral:tRNA from 1 species